rnacentral:rRNA from 1 species
ACGGGUGAGUAACACGUAUCCAACCUGCCGUCUACUCUUGGACAGCCUUCUGAAAGGAAGAUUAAUACAAGAUGGCAUCAUGAGUUCACAUGUUCACAUGAUUAAAGGUAUUCCGGUAGACGAUGGGGAUGCGUUCCAUUAGAUAGUAGGCGGGGUAACGACCCACCUAGUCUUCGAUGGAUAGGGGUUCUGAGAGGAAGGUCCCCCACAUUGGAACUGAGACACGGUCCAA